rnacentral:snRNA from 8 species
AUCGCUUCUCGGCCUUUUGGCUCAGAUCAAGUGUAUUAUCUGUUCUUAUCAGUUUAAUAUCUGAUACGUCCCCCAUCGGGGGACUACAUAUUAAAUGGAUUUUUCGAACAGGGAGUCGGAAAUGGGGCUUGCUCCGUCCGCUCCACGCAUCGACCCGGUAUUGCAGUACCUCCGGGAAC